rnacentral:lncRNA from 1 species
UGGAAGAAUCGAAAAGCGUAAAGGAGAGUUAAGCAAGUCUUUUGGCCGCUCGGGGCGCAAAAAGGAGUGCAACACGAGGACUUCCCAGGGGGUCACCCAUCCUAGUACUACUCUCGCCCAAGCACGCUUAACUUCGGAGUUCUGAUGGGAUCCGGUGCUUUAGUGCUGGUAUGAUCGCACUCGCUUUGUUUGCGUCGUCCCUCGCCUUUGUGCACGCCGCGGACGGCGUAUCGAUGACUGGAGCCCAUUACGCGCCCCGAAACCUAUCGAACGAUCUCGGAAUCGCCAUCGUCGGAUCUCUCCGAUGCCCACGAGGCCGACCGCGUACCGGACACGGCAAGCGCGCGCCGAAACCAUCCGGACUUUCUCGAACGAACUCGGAAUCGCUAUUGCGGCCCCAUUCCGGAAAGCUCUCUCCGAGCCCCACGAGACUGACUGCGUAGCGGUCACGGCGAAUUCCGAGGCCCAAAACCAUCGCCUCGGAGGUCGACGGGAGAGGUUUUGGCAGCUCGGGGCGCAAAAAGGAGUGCAACACGAGGACUUCCCAGGGGGUCACCCAUCCUAGAACCAUAUCUGAUCAUUGCAUGUUUACGAAGAAAUUUUUAGAUGAUGAUUUCAUUAUUCUCCUGCUAUACGUUAACGAUAUAUUUAUUGUUGGCCAUAAUGCUGGAAGAAUCGAAAAGCGUAAAGGAGAGUUAAGCAAGUCUUUUGGCCGCUCGGGGCGCAAAAAGGAGUGCAACACGAGGACUUCCCAGGGGGUCACCCAUCCUAGUACUACUCUCGCCCAAGCACGCUUAACUUCGGAGUUCUGAUGGGAUCCGAUGCUUUAGUGCUGGUAUGAUCGCACUCGUUUUGUUUGCGUCCUCCCUCCCCUUUGUGCACGUCGCGGACGGCGUAUCGACGACCGGAGCCCAUUGCGCGCCCCGAAACCUCUCGAACGAUCUCGGAAUCGCCAUCGUCGGAUCUCUCCGAUGCCCACGAGGCCGACCGCGUACCGGACACGGCAAGCGCGCGCCGAAACCAUCCGGACUUUCUCGAACGAACUCGGAAUCGCUAUUGCGGCCCCAUUCCGGAAAGCUCUCUCCGAGCCCCACGAGACUGACUGCGUAGCGGUCACGGCAAAUUCCGAGGCCCAAAACCAUCGCCUCGGAGGUCGACGGGAGAGGUUUUGGCCGCUCGGGGCGCAAAAAGGAGUGCAACACGAGGACUUCCCAGGGGGUCACCCAUCCUAGAACCAUAUCUGAUCAUUGCAUGUUUACGAAG